UACGUAGGGUGCAAGCGUUGUCCGGAAUUAUUGGGCGUAAAGAGCUUGUAGGCGGUUUGUCGCGUCUGCUGUGAAAUUUCGGGGCUCAACCCCGAACUUGCAGUGGGUACGGGCAGACUAGAGUGUGGUAGGGGAGACUGGAAUUCCUGGUGUAGCGGUGAAAUGCGCAGAUAUCUGGAGGAACACCGGUGGCGAAGGCGGCAUCCUGGACCGAAAUUGACGCUGAGGCGCGAAAGCCAGGGGAGCAAAGCGGG
rnacentral:rRNA from 1 species